UUUUAGCCCUGAUAGCAGCGGCAUCCCACGCCUUUUUCGGCGUGGAUAUAGCGGAUAGCAGUAAUAGCU
rnacentral:sRNA from 1 species